rnacentral:lncRNA from 1 species
UGAAAGAUCAAAUUGCAUGAAAUUAAAUUAAGCAUAAAAAUUUAAACAUAAAAAAGAUUAUAAUGCAUAAGAUUUAAACCUUGUUCAAUCUUAAAUAACAUGAAACAAAUAUGCAUGAAAUGAAAGACUAGUAUAAUAACCUAUAUCAAGCUUAUAACCAUUAUUAAACUUAAUGUCAAAAACAAAUGUAUGAUGGGGCCUUAGGAUAAAGGAUUAGCCUUUAGACUUUCUUCCCCCCAUAAAUGAUCACCUAGGAACUUGUAAUAAUAAUAGGCAUGAAGUAAGCAUAUGGGAGGUAGGACAAGAAAAAGAUAUGGAAGCUUUAAACAUUUUCAGCGGAUUCACGAUGAAGGCUUUACAAUAAUAGUAACCUAGCUUGAUAUUUGACAAAUAACCCCAACUUUGUUCAAUAAACAAGCAACUAGACACUUCCUCUUUAAUAUAAGGUUUUGCCCUCAUUGAAUGACAAAAAAAAAGCCAUGAAAUAGGCAUGGAAGCUUUCAUUUAUUCACGAUGGGACCUUAGCUGAACUUUAAACUUUCUAUCUUUUACAAACAACCACCAUGCAGUAGAACAAAUAAGCAUGAAAACCUUAAGCCUCCUUAAAAAAUUGAACAACAAGCUUAUUACCAAGUAAAACAUCCACAGACAUUCACGCAAACAAUGGAGUUUCAUGCUCAUGAUGUAGCAAAAAUAAAAAAGACAAGAAAAUAUCCUAAAAAACUUUCUAGACCUCAUUGUUGCUUUGAAGGAUUUCUAAAAUCUCAAAGCCUUUGGAUUCAUGGUUUGUUUAAAAAGACCUCUCUCUUCAACCUUAAACCUAGAAUAAAGUAAACUUAAAAGGUGAGGUUCUAAGGCAAUAAAAGGAAUGAAAGUUGGGUUAUGAAAGCUGGGUUUGGAAACCUUUUUUUGUUUUUGUUUUUGUCGUAUCUUGAAUUUUUCAUGCUUUCAUUAAGCUUUCAUUUAUUAAAGAAAGGAAUAGAAACUGAAAAACAUGAAUUACAUCUAGGAAGUUUCAAAUGAAAUCCUUAAAAAACGUCAACAUAGACAAACCUCUAUGAAAAACUAUUUUUUUUUUGUUCUUUUCAUUUUGAACUUAAAACUUCUAAAAUCAUCUCUUGUUUCUUAUUUUGAAAAGCUUUUGGAUUCCAAAAAGGAAGAAAAUCAUCCUUUCACCAUUAUGGAGUUUCAAGGUGCACGGAUAGCCCACAAAAAAAAAAAGACAUGAAACUAAAAACCAAUAGCUGAACCUAAGGUAGAAUGAUCUAGAUUUUCCACAAGAAAAUAAUAUAUAGGAAAAAAAAAGCAAACUAAAAUCAAUGAAUAAGCUAAAGCUAUAAGUUGUUGAUUACGCAAAGAACUAAAAUG